AAUACAUCGGAACGUGCCUAGUAGUGGGGGAUAACUACUCGAAAGAGUGGCUAAUACCGCAUGAGAUCUACGGAUGAAAGCAGGGGAUCGCAAGACCUUGUGCUACUAGAGCGGCCGAUGGCAGAUUAGGUAGUUGGUGGGAUAAAAGCUUACCAAGCCGACGAUCUGUAGCUGGUCUGAGAGGACGAUCAGCCACACUGGGACUGAGACACGGCCCAGACUCCUACGGGAGGCAGCAGUGGGGAAUUUUGGACAAUGGGCGCAAGCCUGAUCCAGCAAUGCCGCGUGCAGGAUGAAGGCCUUCGGGUUGUAAACUGCUUUUGUACGGAACGAAAAGCCCUGGGUUAAUACCCUGGGGUCAUGACGGUACCGUAAGAAUAAGCACCGGCUAACUACGUGCCAGCAGCUGCGGUAAUACGUAGGGUGCGAGCGUUAAUCGGAAUUACUGGGCGUAAAGCGUGCGCAGGCGGUUUUGUAAGACAGAGGUGAAAUCCCCGGGCUCAACCUGGGAACUGCCUUUGUGACUGCAAGGCUAGAGUACGGCAGAGGGGGAUGGAAUUCCGCGUGUAGCAGUGAAAUGCGUAGAUAUGCGGAGG
rnacentral:rRNA from 1 species